UGAGGAAUAUUGGGCAAUGCCCGCAAGGGUGACCCAGCAACGCCGCGUGGAGGAUGAAUGUCGUAAGAUUGUAAACUCCUGUUAGAGGGGAAGAAUAGUACCGGUUGGACCGGUAUAUGACUGUACCCUCAGAGAAAGCCCCGGCUAACUACGUGCCAGCAGCCGCGGUAAUACGUAGGGGGCAAGCGUUGUUCGGAGUUACUGGGCGUAAAGAGUGCGUAGGCGGUUUUCUAAGUUCGGUGUGAAAUCUCCCGGCUUAACUGGGAGGGUGCGCCGAAGACUGGGAAGCGGGAGUGUGGGAAAGGCAGGCGGAAUUCCUGGUGGAGCGGUGAAAUGCGUAGAUAUCAGGAGGAACACCGGCGUUGUAGACGGCUUGCUAGACCAUAACUGACGCUGAGGCACGAAAGCGUGGGUAGCAAACA
rnacentral:rRNA from 1 species